ACAACAGCACAGAGGAGAUCUCGGAGUGACCUGUAGAAUUAAUGGGACCAAUGACAUUUAUCUCCUGACAUCCAUCUCUUCACAGUCAUCUGUCUCAGUCCUUGGGAUGAAGUCAUAAAGAGGCGCAGAAACUGUGCUAAAUCUGAGAUCUGAUCACAACCAGAGAACCCAGAAAAUCCUGUCUUGAUGGCUAUCAGUCCUCCAAUCUGUGGCUAUUCAGGAAGGUACUGUGCCCAGGACAAUAACAAACAAUAACAAUAAUAACAACAACAACAAAAAAAGAAAGGUGGUGUUGUCCCCAUUUUGCAGAUGGAGAAACAACCAGAGAAGUUCAGCAACUCACCGAUGAUCACUAAUGGACCUAUUUCCUCUUGCAGUGUCGGACACCUUCCGCUCUCCAUACAGCAGGGGUCUGGUUGGAUGACAGGAGCAAGCGGCAGCCAUGUGUGCACUGAAAACCCAUUCAAAUGAAAAAAAAAAAAGUGACACACCCCUUCCUGUACACACCUGGUGACAACUUAGGACUGUCUGAGUUUGAGACGCAUGCAGAGGAGGGUGGAAGGACACACUCCAGGCCGUUAAGGUUGGUUCCCUGGGAGGUGAGGACGUCCCCAGUGGAAGAGCUCAGGUGGGGGCACUGCUAAUUUUCGGUGCGGUUUCCCAGGUAGGGGUGAGUGGGUGGCAUUUUUGAAACCUUAAAAACUAACUUGACAAACGAGUAUAGUUGACAUAGCGAAUGCUCAGCUCACUAUGGAAAUGUGCAGAUCUUAGCUACAUAGUUUGAUCAGUUUUGACGAAGGCAGGCACACAUGUAACCCCACGCCUUCGUCAUCUGGGAAGCCAAGGUGUGUUCCUCCUGGUCAAUUCCCUGCCACUCCCUCUAAUGGAAGCAACCACUAUUCUCAUUUCCUUCACCAUAGGUUAGCUUUUCCUGUUCCAGAACUUCUUCUGGAAUAAAUGGAAUACAAAAGCGUGUACUCUUUUGUGUGUGACUUCUUUUGCUCAACAAAAUAGUUUUGAUAUACAUCCACAUUUCUGCAUGUACCAGCAGCUUGUUCCUUUUCUUUG